rfam:Salmo salar isolate Sally breed double haploid chromosome ssa13, whole genome shotgun sequence.
UGCAUUUGCUACUGUAAGUCACUCUGGAUAAGAGUGUCUGCUAAAUGACUAAAA